AUAGAGCUACAUUACAAGUACUGUGAUUUUCUAAAAUAUGAGAAAUUCAUCGCUCCAGUUGCUGCUUCGUAUGGUAUCAAAUGUCAUCUUCCUGUUGGGACCUAUCGUUUCAUGAACAUGACAGUUCCUCUGGACAACUUUCCCGACGUGUUCCCUUUCGAGAAAGCGCGCACGGAUGUCACAUUUACCACCGCUAACGAGACCAUGGUCGUGCUACAGUUGUACGCCUCCUUCAGAAAUCAAGUUCCGAAGAAGUAAAUGCUACAAAAUAUCGAAAAGUGUUUCUUUAAAGCUAAUUAUUGCCAUGUAAAAACAUGUGUCUAUUUUUAAGCAGAAAAUACAAAAUAAUUCACGAAAAUCAAA